GACGAACGCUGGCGGCGUGCCUAACACAUGCAAGUCGAACGGAAAGGUCCGGCUUUUGUGCGCAGCUCGAGUUGCGAACGGGGGAGUAACACGUGAGUACCCUGUACUUGCCUUUGGGAUAACUUCAGGCAACUGGGGCUCUUCUCGGAUAGGAGCUCCUGCUGCAUGGUGGGCGCUGGUAAGAUUCGGCGGUUGGGGAUGGACUAGCGGCCUAGCAGCUUGUUCGUGAGGUAGUGGCUUAGCAAGGCUUAGCCGGGUAGCCGGCGUUGGAGGGUGAGCGGCAACAGCGGGACUGGGAUAGGGACCAGGCUCCGACGGGAGGCAGCAGUGGGAAAGAUUGCACAAUGGGCGGAAGCCAGAUGCAGCAACGCCGCGGGCGGGAGAACGGCCUACGGGUUAGAAACCGCUUUCGCCUUUGACGGAGAGGGUGUGACGGGAACGGGUAAAAAAGCCCCGGCUAACUACGUG
rnacentral:rRNA from 1 species